UACGAAGGGGGGCUAGCGUUGUUCGGAAUUACUGGGCGUAAAGCGCACGUAGGCGGGUUGUUAAGUCAGGGGUGAAAUCCUGGAGCUCAACUCCAGAACUGCCUUUGAUACUGGCAACCUAGAGACUGGAAGAGGUUAGUGGAAUUCCCAGUGUAGAGGUGAAAUUCGUAGAUAUUGGGAAGAACACCAGUGGCGAAGGCGGCUAACUGGUCCAGCACUGACGCUGAGGCGCGAAAGCUAGGGGAGCAAACGGG
rnacentral:rRNA from 1 species